rnacentral:rRNA from 1 species
UACGUAGGGUGCGAGCGUUGUCCGGAAUUAUUGGGCGUAAAGAGCUUGUAGGCGGUUUGUCGCGUCUGCCGUGAAAAUCCGGGGCUCAACCCCGGACUUGCGGUGGGUACGGGCAGACUAGAGUGUGGUAGGGGAGACUGGAAUUCCUGGUGUAGCGGUGAAAUGCGCAGAUAUCAGGAGGAACACCGGUGGCGAAGGCGGGUCUCUGGGCAGUAACUGACGCUGAGGAGCAAAAGCGUGGGGAGCAAACAGG